UAACGGACACAGUUUUGAACUCCUAUAUUAGCGCCAUUUAUGGCUGCUUGGACCACAGCAUCUUCGGAAUUUGUAGACAUCCUGGCAGCUUACAAUUAGUUCGAGGUGAGACACUGAAUUUGAGCAGAAACCAUAAGGAUACUCAAAGGACCUGUGACUCUCAGGAAAUGCAUCAAAUGAGAGGGACAGAUGAAACAGUUUCAAGACAAUGGCAGGAAAAACAUGCUGAAGAUUGAAACAAACCUUGGCUGGAAAUAUUUGAAGGUAUCUAGCCAGUCCACAAUGAAAGCUUCGGUGCACCCCAUGAGUCUUCUGGCAGAAAUGAUGGCGCCUGUACUCUUUGGUUUCCCUAAACAUCACACCCUGCCUGUUUAUACGAGGCUCUUCAAUUAAGUCUGCAUUCAAAGAUUCAAUAAGAGAGGGGAUCCUGCCAGUCCAAAGUGAACUCCUGAUGGACAUUGAAGUACUCCUGCAGAGCUUGUAUCUUCGACACCAUGCGCAUUAGAAACUCCACUGAGUCCUUUCCUUCACCAAGGCAGGACCCAAUGACUCAUUAGUGUUGAUAGGUCAGGGGCAGGUAAUAUUUUGUUUCAUGUUUAUUCAUUCCUCCAUGGAUUACCAGCCAUAUAUAUGGACACAUGCUGUAUUCUCAAGAUCUAUGCUGUUUUGUAGGAAUAGAGAAAAUGAUAUGUUUAGUCUGUUUUCAAAUGGUAUGUCAAAUUUUCUCAUUGUUUAUCAGUAAUAUUCACUACCUUGGUUAUAUAUGAGCAUCUUUAGGUUUUUCUAUAUUUAGCGGUUGCAAAUGUAAAAUUUACGGUAAACCAUUUAUGUUCCUCAUAUUGUACUGUAUUUUUAGCGGUAAAAUACCGGCAGCUGUGGUUGCCAGGAAUUUACCGUAAAAUGUAUCUGGUCAAAAUAAAAUGCUGUAAUUUGUUAUACAAUUUCACUGUGUUUUUUACUGUCAAAGGUUUU